CCUACGGGUGGCUGCAGUAAGGAAUAUUGGUCAAUGGACGGAAGUCUGAACCAGCCAUCCCGCGUGCAGGAAGAAGGUCCUAUGGAUUGUAAACUGCUUUUAGCAGAGACGAAACGCCUUCAUUUAUGGGGGUUUGACGGUAUCUGCGGAAUAAGCACCGGCUAACUCCGUGCCAGCAGCCGCGGUAAUACGGAGGGUGCAAGCGUUAUCCGGAAUAAAGGGGUUUUAAGGGGGGGAUUAAGGGGGAUGAGAAAGCCUGUAGCUUAACUACAGAAUUGCCAUUGAUACUGAUUUUCUUGAAUUGGGUUGAGGUUAGCGGAAUGUGACAUGUAACGGUGAAAUGUUUAGAUAUGUCACGGAACACCGAUUGCGAAGGCAGCUAGCUGGGCCUUGAUUGACGCUGAGGCACGAAAGCGUGGGUAGCGAACAGGAUUAGAUACCCUUGUAGUC
rnacentral:rRNA from 1 species